AUGUCAGUGGGUGCCAUUUUUUCCACAUGGAGGAAUUCAGUGACACACCUUUGCUUCAUAUGUGCUUCCAUGGCAGAUCUCAUUUUGUCAGAGUGCCCCUCUGCUGCCAUCUGUCAUACAGAAACAUGUAAUGGAAGAUUGGUGGGAAGGUUCAACCUCUACUUCAAUAAUACCAACAUCUGCCUCUCAUAUCAUAGGCCAACAUAAUAACAUAGGAGGCAUUACUUUCAGAGCAGCCCUUGUAUUGUGGGCUAUGUGCAGCAACUCAUGGCUUUGCAAAAAAAAUGAUAGCUUUGAAGGCUAAGAUGGCUGAGCACUGUCAGUUAAGAGCCUGCUAUCGUUCAGAAACAGACUAUUUAAAUGUGCUGUUUUUUCCCUGCUGUUGUAUUCUCUUUCCCCAAGCACAAGAGCUUUAAUGGAAUCGGAAAUGUUUGAGAGAAGGGCAGCAGGAAUGAUCCAAAAGGUAUGGAAUGUCUUCUGUCUGGGGAACUACUGAGUACACCAGACUCUGCUGUCUGGAAAAGAGAUGACUGAAGGAGGAUGCGGUAAGAGGACUACAAAAGCAUGAGAAACAUGGAGAGGGUAGGUGGGAUUAGAUGCUCAUUGUUUCUUCUAAUACACGGACUAAGCAGAGUGCAGAGACCAUAUAAAGUAGCAGGAACCAAAUCUGGAAAAAGAUGAUAACUCUUCUCACUGCAGUCUGUCAGAUGUGAGCUCCUGGCCAAAGGAUGCUCUAGCUGCUAGUAAUUCCCAUGAGCUCAAGGGAGAGGUGGAAAGUUCAGAGAAAAGGAAUCUCUGAGAGGUAUUAAACACACAGGAACUACACUCAGCUCAGGAAGUUCCUAGGCCAGGAACACAUUCAGAAACAGCACCGGGGACAAGGAAACACUCUUAUCUCUGCACUCCACUCACUGUUGGAGAUGCAGCACCAACCUAGGCAGAGGUUCAGUCCGGUCCAAUACAGCUGUCAUAUAACUAAAUUCUGCUUAAUGCACUGAUGUUUUACAGUGGUCGCCUCUCCCAUAGAGACAAGUAAGUGGUAAUAGCCCUGGCAGUGUACCAUGGAUCAGCAAGCGUGGGAGACUAUGAGUUAAUAACAGCCCUCAUCCUUGCACCAGGAAGCUGGUACUGUAUCAUCAACUUUGUGAAGAACAGAAGCCCCUUCUGGCCUGCAGCCUGGGAACUAGACACCGGUUUCUCAGUGUCAGGAUGAAUAAAUAAGGAAUGUGAAUGUUUACAUAUUUCCAAAUACCACACUAUGUAAAAAAAACUAUUUAAAGAAUACAUCCUUCUAUGCUUCACAACACAGAAUGUCAAGGGUCUUGGAAAAACUGACCUUCCAGUUUCAUGAGAAAGGCCCUGUGGCUCAGAUACUGGCCCUAAGUUCCCUGACUGUUCAGAAUAAUUGUUACUUUGUGUAACAGCUGAAUUCAGUCUUCCAUUCUAGGGCUUUCUUUAAUAAAAUGAGCUUGGGGAACGACAGGAUUGCCAUAGCAACAGAAUCCUCUUAAAAAAGAGGCAGGAGACACGCUGGUCUCACAUCCCAUUUCAGCUUUUUCUGCUCUACUGAUAUUUUCAGACUGAUCCAAUCUUCUUGUUGCUGCCAACUGUCUUGAGGGCUGCCCUGGCUACCUACAGCCAGUAUAAUGCCACGCAGCUCGAGCUGAGCUUUUAGAUGUCCCAGCCUGCAAAUGUCACAGCUGCCAUAGGAAUCCCCUCAGAAAACAAAAUCUAUUGCUAGCAAGCAGCAGUGACAUUUCUGUGGCUGCUGUACAGGCCCUUGGUGAGCCACUGAGACUGCUGUAUCAUGGUUCUCAGAUGGCAGAAGGAAGUUAAAGCAACAUGGGCCUGUGAGACCCCACUGAAGCAAUGAAGACAUGAAAACCUGUAGCAGAUAUUCCCAGCCCCUGGUUAUUUCAGGUUAUCAUGCUACGUGAUUUCCUAAAUUAAGUGGAAAACUCCCUCUUUAAGUUACUUAAGGCUUUUUCCUCUCCUAGCCCUUUCAUUUGGAGCUUUUCCAGACCAUUGCCCCUCUGGUCCUCAGGAUCUUUCUUCCAAUUUCCAGACAACAUUUACUGAUGAAUAGAUUACAUCUACUCAUUCUGCCGAUCUUGUCUUGGCUUUUACCCUUCCUUGCUGUUUCUCUUCCCAGUGCAAUGAGAGAUGGCAAAUGUGCUUGCCCUUACCCUUUAUUUGUCAGAGUAGACACACCAGUAUAUUCCAGUCCCACCUUGUGAGAUGAGUGAGCCUGGCUACGUAACCAGCAACUUGUACAGUGCCAUUCAUCCCUCUUUCUGCUGCAAUUAUUUAAUCCCACACCUUCUCCAGGACUGAAUCUGACACUUCUGCAGCCAUGUUAGCUAAAGGCUACCAUCCUGUGCUUGACCAACACACUUUGAAUAUUCUAUUCCAUCAUUUCCCCAAUAAACACAAAGCUAAUAUAGAAAAGGCUAUUCUUAGGCUAAUCACCAUCUAUAAGAAACCAUACAAUAGCCUCCUGAAUUUUCACAAACAGUCAAAAAAGACCAGUUUUCCAUUAUUUACAUUCUACCUUACAUUUGCAGUUUGGACUUGCUGAAAAACGUCUUUCAACUUUCUUUGUUUUCUACUCUGUCAUGUACUCCCUCCAUAGCUAUCUCCCAGUGGGUAUGAUCAACAUAACUUUCUCCUAGGAGGGUGUUCUCACCUGCAGCAUCUCACUGCUGCACCUGGGCUUCAUUUCAACAUAAGGCACCAAAGCAAAAACAGGUAAUUCUUAUCCACCUACUUCCCCCACAUGGGCCACUCUAUGGAGAAAGUAAAGACCUAUAAUAUUUAUCUCCCAUUAUCUCAUAUGUAAAGUUUCUAGAGGGAAAACAAACAUAUUUAAAACAAGAUUUCACAAAGAUGAAUGUUUUAGCCAAUUUUAGUCUGAAUGUUUUAGCCAAUUUUAGUCAGUAUUUUCAAGAUGUUUGAAAAUUUAGCUUAAUACCUAGAAGAAAUUUUGCCAGUAAUAUUAAAAUGAGGUAUUGUUUUUGGGAGGAAAAAGAAGUAUUUGAUGGGGCGAGGCACAAUGUAUUUGGCAGCGCACAGAAGAACUGUACUUACAUUAGCAUGCCUGAAUUUUGGUUUUAUCUAGGUCAUUUCUCCAGAAGGCACUUAAACACAACCUCCUGAUAGGCUUCCUUCCAAAUUUAAGAGGCAACUAGCUGCCACAGAUAUCUGACCAUUAGACAGACAUACUUCUGGUUGUUUCUUUUGGCGUUGUGUUUUUUUUUUUUUUAAAACUAGACAUUUGCUGGCUUUCAGUAUCAGUGACGGGUCUCAGUUCCAGCGAAUGCAGGCUGACACUACUGUUCAUCAGUAAUGGCUACCACAGGGCCCGGAAGGCUGCACAGCAAGUAACCGGACUGAAGAAAACAGAGAAACCACAUGCAGAUCAGCAACUCCUUCAGAAAUCCAUGUGCUACGCUUUGGAACUGCUGCCUGCCAACUGGCUGCAGAUGAACCCAAAGCAGACAGAGAAAAGCAGAAUUAUCUUGAAAUAGAUAUAUUGUUAAAAAGAAAAAAAAAAUCAUUGCAACAAGGCUGUGAAGAAAGAAAGUGACCAAUUUGAUGUAUCAGAAGUUAAGACUUUGCCACAACAAUUUAAGAGAGCAGGAGACAGACAGACCUUGUAGCUCCCAAACCACAUAAAGAAAACAGUAUACUCUUUUUAUGGAAGAGAAAUUUCAGUCUCUCAGAUUUUACUCGAGAUGAUUGGAUGUGUUUAUCUGGAACACAGAGAAACCAUCAGAGCCAGAAGAUGAAAAACCUGUGGUAAUUUUGACAAGUGUUGGCAAACAGAACUGUCAAGAAAGGAUAAUGACUUUAUAUUCACAAAGCAGUUUUCAUCCAGAUAGAACCCAGAGUGCUUUACAAUUGUUACUAAUGGAUUAUACACACACAUGAAUCACUUUGCCCAUGACUGAAAUGGAACAGCUUAAGGAGUGAACUGUUUAACAGCACAUAGCAACCUGACACUACAGUUUAGCACAGGAUCCAGUUGCAAAUCCGAAAGAAAAUUAGGAAGGCAGAAUGUAAUUACCCACAGUGCAAUCAGAACAGACGCUGUGUUUACAUUACCCCUCCUGCAACCACCGCCACUGGAAAUAUGGCAACUGUCAGCAUCCAGUGCAAUGUCUGUCACAACGGGAAGAUCACAACGGGUACCUCUUCAGCCCCGUUCAAGUUAAAUUGCAAGGCAGCUGAACACAACCUAGCUGAACCUGGAGACUUCAGACUCAACAAUCAAAGUUUGUGUUACAUCCCCCCUGAAAAAUGGCAUGCUGUCCCUUUGACAACAUAACACAGCACUUGGUCGAUACUGCACGGGAAGAAAGAAGCUCACACACUGUCACCAAUGCUACUUCCUCCAACACCUGUUUCUCAUCAGCAAGUUUUCCAGAGGGGGAACAAGGGGCUCUGUUUAAUCUUGAUUAAACUUGUGAAUGAAGGAGCAGAAAGAAUUUAAAUCACCUAAGCAAUCUAACAACAGGUUGAGGAAAAUACUGCAGAAGUGAAGAGGAAGGCUCCUUUUUUCCUUAAAGCAAAACAACAGUGAAAAAAACUUUCAAGAUCUGCGCUGACAGCCUACAGACCAGGAAGAGGGAUCAACACCACAGAAAAAUGGCAUUUCCUUUUCCAAGUACAGGUCUCUCAACUCAGUACGUGUUACCUGGCAAACAAGAAGAGGGCUUUGAAGUCGCCAUACAAAAAUGAUUUCAGUACAAUUGGGUAUACUCUACAGCCAGUUCCCGCAGCAGCAGAAAAUAGCUGCAAAGCAGAAGACCCUGGCAGAGCAGCAGAAGUCAUCACAACAACUCCUUGAGCUGCUUCCCCGCUCUGCAUGAAGAAGACAUGGACAGCUUCUUUACCCUGGGGAUUUAGACAGCGUAUCGUACAAAUAUGCACUGCAGCACACAGUCCAGUAAGAGGUAGCAACACUUUUCUCCUCUGCUUUCUCAAGCAAGCACUUUAAAUGAACACUUACUGCCUCAGCAUUCAGCUGCCAAAGCUGAAUCAACUGCUAAAGCCUAAGGAACAUAAAUUUGCUUAGAAGAAAAGAGCAGCCAGCUACCCACAGAACCACAGACACGCUGGUUACUGGUGUUCAGAUCUUCAACAGGAAAAAGGAGAUGACACGUGAAAUAUGAUGCAGUCUCCUGGAACAGGGUCAAAUGCAGCCUCGUGCCUUAUGAAUGGCAAUUUCCUCAGUCAGCAGUUUUCUCGUGGCUUGUAUCAAGGCUCAGUUUGGCCCAAGAACUUUAGAGGUAGAGGUGAGUCAUAUUAAUAGCAUACACAUUUUAUAAUCUUACUCAAAAUCUUGCAGCAAGUAAUACUAUUUCAUAUUAAAGUGGAUUCUAAGAUAAUGGUAUAAACUGCAAUCCAUUUGAGACUACCUUGCCAAGAAAGAGACCGAAAACAAAUGCUGGUAAGUUCCCCAAACUCCAAGGGGCAAUUCAGU